AGCGAACGCUGGCGGCAGGCCUAACACAUGCAAGUCGAACGAACCUUUCGGGGUUAGUGGCGGACGGGUGAGUAACACGUGGGAACGUGCCUUUAGGUUCGGAAUAACUCAGGGAAACUUGUGCUAAUACCGAAUGUGCCCUUCGGGGGAAAGAUUAAUCGCCUUUAGAGCGGCCCGCGUCUGAUUAGCUAGUUGGUUGAGGUAAUGGCUCACCAAGGCGACGAUCAGUAGCUGGUCUGAGAGGAUGAUCAGCCACAUUGGGACUGAGACACGGCCCAAACUCCUACGGGAGGCAGCAGUGGGGAAUCUUGCGCAAUGGGCGAAAGCCUGACGCAGCCAUGCCGCGUGAAUGAUGAAGGUCUUAGGAUUGUAAAAUUCUUUCACCGGGGACGAUAAUGACGGAAACCGGAGAAGAAGCCCCGGCUAACUUCGUG
rnacentral:rRNA from 1 species